UACGUAGGGUGCGAGCGUUAAUCGGAAUUACUGGGCGUAAAGCGUGCGCAGGCGGUUCGUUGUGUCUGAUGUGAAAGCCCCGGGCUCAACCUGGGAAUGGCAUUGGAAACUGGCGAGCUAGAGUGUGGCAGAGGGGGGUAGAAUUCCACGUGUAGCAGUGAAAUGCGUAGAGAUGUGGAGGAACACCGAUGGCGAAGGCAGCCCCCUGGGUCAAAACUGACGCUCAUGCACGAAAGCGUGGGGAGCAAACAGG
rnacentral:rRNA from 1 species